rnacentral:rRNA from 1 species
AUUGAACGCUGGCGGCAGGCUUAACACAUGCAAGUCGAGCGGUAGCACAGGGGAGCUUGCUCCCUGGGUGACGAGCGGCGGACGGGUGAGUAAUGUCUGGGAAACUGCCUGAUGGAGGGGGAUAACUACUGGAAACGGUAGCUAAUACCGCAUAACGUCGCAAGAACAAAGAGGGGGACCUUCGGGCCUCUUGCCAUCAGAUGUUCCCAGAUGGGAUUAGCUAGUAGGUGGGGUAAUGGCUCACCUAGGCGACGAUCCCUAGCUGGUCUGAGAGGAUGACCAGCCACACUGGAACAGCGACACGGUCCAGACUCCUACGGGGGGCAGCAGUGGGGAAUAUUGCACAAUGGGCGCAAGCCUGAUGCAGCCAUGCCGCGUGUGUGAAGAAGGCCUUCGGGUUGUAAAGCACUUUCAGCGAGGAGGAAGGUGGUGAACUUAAUACGCUCAUCAAUUGACGUUACUCGCAGAAUAAGCACCGGCUAACUCCGUGCCAGCAGCCGCGGUAA